rnacentral:sRNA from 1 species
GUUCCUCAGCUACCCUUCUGAAACAUUUCCACCUUGUGUCACUUCUCCUUCCCAGAUCAAGUGUGUCCUGUGUUGCUCUAAACUUACCCUGUGGGUAGCAGAAGAAAGCAGAUUGCAUACCCAGGGAGGCACAGGAUAAUGAUCUUGGUGAGAACAAGAAUUCUUGAUUAAUCCUGUCCAUUUCUCCCUUUCAUAGGUACCACAACUCCCAGGAUUUUCCUGGAUCAAACCUUGUAUCUCUUCUGCAAGUAUUGUGUAUAUUGGUCUGAGAGACGUGGACCCUCCUGAACAUUUUAUUUUAAAGAACUAUGAUAUCCAGUAUUUUUCCAUGAGAGAUAUUGAUCGACUUGGUAUCCAGAAGGUCAUGGAACAAACAUUUGAUCUGCUGAUUGGCAAGAGACAAAGACCAAUCCAUCUGAGUUUUGAUAUUGAUGCAUUUGACCCUACACUGGCUCCAGCCACAGGAACUCCUGUUGUAGGGGGACUAACCUAUCGAGAAGGCAUGUAUAUUGCUGAGGAAAUACACAAUACAGGGUUGCUAUCAGCACUGGAUCUUGUUGAAGUCAAUCCUCAGUUGGCCACCUCAGAGGAAGAGGCGAAGACUACAGCUAACCUGGCAGUGGAUGU